rnacentral:rRNA from 1 species
UACGUAGGCGGAAAAUUAAGUCAGUAGUGAAAUCCUGCAGCUUAACUGUAGAACUGUUAUUGAUACUGGUUUUCUUGAAUAUAGUUGAGGUAGGUGGAAUGUGUAAUGUAGCGGUGAAAUGCUUAGAUAUUACACAGAACACCGAUUGCGAAGGCAGCUUACUAAGCUAUGAUUGACGCUGAGGUACGAAAGCGUGGGGAGCGAACAGGAUUAGAUACCCUGGUAGUCC